UGUAUAUACUCAAAUCUGGUUUCUAUUAGUUGUACCCGGUUUUUAUGUAUAGGCAACUAUGGUUUCUUUAUCUUGUACCCGGUUUAUGAUGUUUACAUAUUUUGACCUCCAAGUUUCGGACGCCCAUGUGAAUGAAGAAACCUAUUCGGUAUGAAGGUGUGAUCGGAUACGUUAUGAACAGUGACACGAAUCACAGUUGCAACAAAUCUUCUCUUCUCCUCUUCGAAAAUAUCUUAUCCUCACCGAAAAUAUCUUCUCCUCUUCUCUUCACUUCUCCUCUAUGAAAAUAUCUUAUAACUCUUCUCUCACCAAUUUGGAAAAAUAUAACCGAUUUUAUACACUUGUUUACUUUUUCAAUAGGUUCAAAAAUAAAACUGAUAAAUGGUCAUAACUGUCGGUUGCAGGUUACUUGUAUUAUUCAAUCACGUGUGGUUUCGAGGACAGAAUCAGAAAGAGAUGCGCUAAAUGACAAGAUUCUCAAAUUAUUAAAAAGUUUGCAUAGAUCUGCAAUUACCACGCCAAAUUUUGAUAUUGAGCUAAAUAGGCCUUUAUUUUAUCUAUACCUCUUAUCUCUCCGUCGGCGUUUGCAGACCGGAGGUGGGUGAUUUUCAGUCUGUUUAAUUUGUUUGCCUCAGUGUUGAACUAUGUUAGGCUUAGAAGAGAAAGAGAUGAUGAUGAAGAAGGUGAGGAAGGCGACGCCAGAGUUGGCGACUCUAAAACGAUCGUGUGGUGGGACAUGGACAGCUGUCCGCUCCCAAAUGGUUAUGAGCCAAGUCGAGUCGGUCCGAGAAUAGACACGGAGUUGAAGAAUCAAGGUUACAAUGGUCCGCUCACCAUAAUUGGCAUUGGUAACCUGGAAGGAGUCCCUCAUGACUUUCUGAUAGCGCUCUCUUCUGGUGGAGUCGUUAUUAAACAGCUUCCACUAGGAUCCGACAUGAUGAGCUGUGUGCGCCGUGCUUUGUUUUCGAGAGAACCUCGUUUUGAACCUCGUCAAUGAUGCUCAUAACUGCCGUCCAUGCCGAGCUAUUGGAAGAUGUCAUUUGCGUGUUUUUUAAUUGUGGCCCCCGUUACAAUCUUCUGCUGGCUUUUCCAGCCGUUACCGAACAUGCAGACCCAGAGCCUCCAACCCUACUAGUCGACAACUUUGGUGGAGAGUGGGUCUGGGAUAGGCUUGGCUUACUGAAAGAUCCAGGGUCUCCCAACUAUGAUACCAGAAGACAGGACACAGGCUGUGAAUCGCAUUGUUGCGGAUUAUGCGACGAUUUUUCUUCCGACAGCUUUGAUGAUUUCAAAGCCCACUUCGACAGUCCCCAACAUGCAGAUAAGAUGCAUGAGUAUCUUAGUUACCUUGCGGGGAGGUUUAAUCGGGUCUUAGAAAAUUUUGAGUCCGCCGUUAGGCUUGAAGAGGCAAGUUUUUCUUCUUUUCUUCUUCUUCAUUCUUAUUAUAAUACCAGAGUUGUUUUUUCACAUAGAGAUAAUAUCUAAUCUCUGACUCCUACUGUUUCAGUCUUAUCUUGCAAAAGUGGAGGCAAAAAGGCGAGAGUUUGUAACGUGGUUCGGCUUGUAUGAUUCUGAUGAUGAGGAUGAUACUCCCAAGCCUCAGAAGGCAAGUUAGAGUUUCUUUUUUUUUUUAAAUACAUAAAUAUAAAUCUUUUUCUCCAUAAAACAACUCGUCAGCUCUACUCAUUAUUUUGUACAGUCCAAAAGGAGCCGCUUGACGAAGCCUAACUUGGCAAGUUUUUUUCUUAACCAAACAUUCUUUACUUUCUUAAUCAAAACCUGAUUUCUCAUUAACAACUGUAUGAUUGCAGGGGAAAAAAUUCAAGGCCGCCCUUCUUUGCAAGGCUUCCUCUCUUAAGAAGAAGGCUACUGCCAAGCCCAAGAAGCCAUCAA